AACGCAUAUUGCGCCCUCUGGUAUUCCGGAGGGCAUGCCUGUCCGAGCGUCAUUACAACCUUCAAGCCCGGCUUGUGUGUUGAGCAUCUGUUUAUAUGAACAGGCUUGAAAUGCAGUGGCGGUGUCGGGUUUGGAGCCCGAGCGUAUGGGGCUUUGUCAAACGCUCUGGUGGCCCAGAUCACACCGUCAGUUAUAUGUUACCACAGUUUGAUUGACCUCGGAUCAGGCAGGGUUACCCGCUGAACUUAA
rnacentral:misc_RNA from 1 species